AUACGGAGGAUCCGAGCGUUAUCCGGAUUUAUUGGGUUUAAAGGGUGCGCAGGCGGCCAUUUAAGUCAGCGGUUAAAUCGUGGGGCUCAACCCCAUUCUGCCGUUGAUACUGGGUGGCUUGAUUGCGGUCGAGGUUGGCGGAAUUCGUUGUGUAGCGGUGAAAUGCAUAGAUAUGACGAAGAACACCGAUUGCGAAGGCAGCCUGCUGGACUGUAACUGACGCUGAUGCUCGAAAGUGUGGGUAUCAAACAGGAUUAGAUACCCUGGUAGUCCACACAGUAAACGAUAAAUACUCGCUGUUUGCGAUAUACAGUAAGCGGCCAAGCGAAAGCGUUAAGUAUUCCACCUGGGGAGUACGCCGGCAACGGUGAAACUCAAAGGAAUUGACGGGG
rnacentral:rRNA from 1 species